CACGCUGUAAACGAUGACCACUAGAUGUUGGUUCGGCUUGCCGGAUCAGUGUCGUAGCUAACGCGUUAAGUGGUUCGCCUGGGAAGUACGGUCGCAAGGCUAAAACUUAAAGGAAUUGACGGGGGUCCGCACAAGCGGUGGAACAUGUGGUUUAAUUCGACAAUACGCGAGGAACCUUACCUGGACUUGACAUACUUGUGACAGUUGUAGAAAUACAAUCUUUUGGGUUUCGGCUCAGACACAAGAACAGGUGC
rnacentral:rRNA from 1 species